rnacentral:rRNA from 1 species
UACGUAGGGGGCAAGCGUUGUCCAGAUUUAUUGGGCGUAAAGAGCGUGUAGGCGGCCUGACAGGUCUGCUGUGAAAACUCGAGGCUCAACCUCGAGAUGUCGGCGGAAACCGUCUGGCUAGAGUCCGGAAGAGGAGAGUGGAAUUCCUGGUGUAGCGGUGAAAAUGCGCAGAUAUCAGGAAGAACACCUAUGGCGAAGGCAGCUCUCUGGGACGGUACUGACGCUGAGACGCGAAAAGCGUGGGG